rnacentral:rRNA from 1 species
AGUGAACGCUGGCGGCGUGCCUAAUACAUGCAAGUCGAACGGAGUGGCGCACGGGUGAGUAAGGUAUAGCUAAUCCGCCCUACACUAGAGGACAACAGUUGGAAACGGCUGCUAAUACUCUAUAGUGUAGGAUGAGGGUAUAUUGUAUCAGCUAGUUGGUGAGGUAAGGGCUUACCAAGGCUAUGACGCAUAACUGGUCUGAGAGGAUGAUCAGUCAAACUGGAACUGAGACACGGUCCAGACUCAUACGGGAGGCAGCAGUAGGGAAUAUUGCUCAAUGCGGGAAACCCUGAAACAGCAACGCGGCGUGGAGGAUGACACUUGUCGAGGCGUAAACUCCUUUUGUUAGGGAAGCGGUACCUAACGAAUAAGCACCGGCUAACUCCGUGCCAGCAGCCGCGGUAAUUC